AUGGCAUAGGAUUAUCGCAUGAUGAUCCUAUUAAAGAAUUUCGGUUGUCGAUGGGGAUGCGUUCCAUUAGGCAGUUGGCGGGGUAACGGCCCACCAAACCAACGAUGGAUAGGGGUUCUGAGAGGAAGGUCCCCCACAUUGGAACUGAGACACGGUCCAAACUCCUACGGGAGGCAGCAGCGAGGAAUAUUGGCCAAUGGACGAGAGUCCGAACCAGCCAAGUAGCGUGAAGGAUGACUGCCCUAUGGGUUGUAAACUUCUUUUAUACGGGAAUAAAGUGAGCCACGUGUGGUUUUUUGUAUGUACCGUAUGAAUAAGGAUCGGUUAACUCCGUGCCAGCAGCCGCGGUAAUACGGAGGAUCCUAGCGUUAUCCGGAUUUAUUGGGUUUAAAGGGAGCGUAAGCGGGUUGUUAAGUCAGUUGUGAAAGUUUGCGGCUCAACCGUAAAAUUGCAGUUGAUACUGGCGACCUUGAGUGCAACAGAGGUAGGCGGAUAUUCGCGGUGUAGCGGUGAAAUG
rnacentral:rRNA from 1 species